rnacentral:antisense_RNA from 1 species
GGGGUUUGCAGUAACAGUUUGCUGCGGUCGGUAAUGUCACCACCGAUAUGAUACGGCAACCCGCAGUUGGCAAAGGAAACAAACGCACCGCGCUCAAACAUAAUGAUUUGAGCAUCUUCGCUAAGACGACGCGCUCUCGCCGCGGCAGAUGCUCCGCCUGCUACACCAC